rnacentral:rRNA from 1 species
CCUUGAACCGCAUGGUUCAAGGAUGAAAGACGGUUUCGGCUGUCACUUACAGAUGGACCCGCGGCGCAUUAGCUAGUUGGUGAGGUAACGGCUCACCAAGGCGACGAUGCGUAGCCGACCUGAGAGGGUGAUCGGCCACACUGGGACUGAGACACGGCCCAGACUCCUACGGGAGGCAGCAGUAGGGAAUCUUCCGCAAUGGACGAAAGUCUGACGGAGCWAUUCGGCCAGCKUGASCUGAUUGARGSUUUUCGGAUCGUAAAGCUCUGGUUGUUAGGGAAGAWCAAGUGGCAAGAGUUAMCUGGCUUGCACCUUGACGGUUACGCUAAYCAGAAAGGCCAYSGCUWACUACGGUGGCCAGCCAGCCGGCGGUAAUACGUUAGGGUGGGCAAAGCGUUGUUCCUGGAAAUUAAUUGGGCGUAAMGGGCUUCGCAGGGCCGGUUUYUCUAAGUUCUGAUGUGAAAGCCUCUCCSGGCUUCAACCCGGGGACGGGUCCAUUGGAAACUGGGGAAAYUUGAGUGCAGAAGAGGGAGAGUGGAAUUUCCACGUGUAGCGGUGAAAUGCGUAGAGAUGUGGAGGAACACCAGUGGCGAARGCGACUCUCUGGUCUGUAACUGACGCUGAGGAGCGAAAGCGUGGGGAGCGAACAGGAUUAGAUACCCUGGUAGUCCACGCCGUAAACGAUGAGUGCUAAGUGUUAAGGGGGUUUCCGCCCCUUAGUGCUGCAGCUAACGCAUUAAGCACUCCGGCCUGGGGAGUACGGUCGCAAGACUGAWACUCAAAGGAAAUUGACAGGGGGCCCGCACAAGCGKKGGAGCAUGGUGRUUWAAUUCGAAGCAACGGCGAAGAACCUUACCARGUCUUGACAUCCUCUGACAACCCUAGRRAUAGGGCYUUCCYUUCGGGGACRGAGUGACAGGUGGUGCAUGGUUGUCGUCAGCUCGUGUCAGWGARAUGUWGGGWUAAGUCCCGCAACGAGCKAACAACCCUUGAUCUUAGUUGCCAGCAUUCAGUUGGKACACUCUUAAAGUGUGAACUGCCGGUGACAAACCGGAGGAAGGUGGGGAUGACGUCAAAUCAUCAUGCCCCUUAUGACCUGGGCUACACACGUGCUACAAUGGACAGAACAAAGGGCUGCGAGACCGCAAGGUUUAGCCAAUCCCACAAAUCUGUUCUCAGUUCGGAUCGCAGUCUGCAACUCGACUGCGUGAAGCUGGAAGAGAGUGUGAUCAUGGCUCAGCAUGCCGCGGUGAAUACGUUCCCGGGCCUUGUACACACCGCCCGUCACACCACGAGAGUUUGCAACACCCGAAGUCGGUGAGGUAACCUUAUGGAGCCAGCUAGCAGGAUUGUGACUUUUAUUAA